ACGAAAUCAGCAGUCAAGAGCAAACGAAGACAGAAAUUAAAACUGAACCCCUGAAUCUGGACGAACAGCUAACGAGCGUAUUCAAUAUCGGGAGGAGCAUUCGACGUGCUAAACUACUUGCAUUGGAAAGAAUUAAAAUAAUAUCCGAAGAUUACGAGGUCAUAACUAUAUAUGAUUAGUGUUCUGUCGAAAUGAGAUAGCUGGAGAACAGGGCACACUUUCAGAUCCAUGAAAUUGGCAGAGAAGGCUUUAUUCAAGAAGGAAAACGUCCAUCAGAUCUGGCAAAAUAACUUCAGAAAUCAACAAACCCGCACUCCCGGAAAGAAGUUUUCAGCAGCCAUUUUGGCAAUCUUUGCGUUUUCUGAAGCUCGGAAAUAUUGAAAACAAUCACCAAAAUUCGUCUGACUCUCUUUCCGUGAAAUAAGAUUUAUUUUAAAAUUUGGGUAAUUUAAUAAUAUUAUUUAUUUUAAAAAGUGAUGGAAUAUUGUACAGCAUAUUACUUUUGAUGUUCAAGCUCCAAAAGUAUUUACUCUCUCAUCACAUAACCCAGCAGAUAGAUCUUCAUUAUUAAAUUUUCUUACUACAUAAACUUCACA